rnacentral:lncRNA from 1 species
AUCCAUUUUGAUUGACAACCCAUUCACGAAUUCAAGCUGGGAGAAUGAAGGAAGAUGGUGACGAUGGGAGCUUUAAUAACAGAAGGAGAGUUGUGAUGUAUAUGUUCUAUGGAAGAAGGAUGGAGAGGGCUGAUAAUCGAUGAAUAAAUCACCAGCUACGUCAGAACGGGCAAGCAAGUAAUGCCAUGAGACAGCUUCAUUAAGACUGAAGAGGAAGCAACUCAAUGUGAAAGAGAAUAAAAUUAGCUGACAACUAUACAAACACCAAACUUAAUAGUAGCGUCACAAAGUUAGGGCGACGAUAGAUCGAAUAGCUAAUGAUUCAAAUGAUUUCCAGCACAAAAAACAAAUCACACAUACACAAGCAGAACCAGCUCGAGGAAGUGUGCUUAAUCUUUGUCGACAAGGUAGACUAGGACAAUUUCAAGUUCAAAUCAUUAAGGAAUGAUCAUCACCUAGCGAGAAACCACUGAUGUUUAGUCAAAAUAGCAUCCUAUCUCGACUGAAAACCAAAAUUAACAAAGAGAGAACAAGAGAAGAAGUGGUGACAGAUAGAAUAUGGGUCAUAAGAUGGUGUUCAAUUCUCAGCAUUUCAAAGACGACUUAGACACUCAUUCAGGAAUCAAACAUCAGCGAUGAAUGCUCGUCAAAGCUUAUUUUUCGAAUAGAUGCAACAGGGAAACAACCUUGACACUAUAUAAGGCUACAAUCUACCAAAUUUACAACAUCAGCAGGGGUCAAGUUCGAAGCAGGUCUGAGCUGAAGGAUGAUACUAAAAACAAUCUUCGAAGUCAGUACAAACACGAAUACGAUGUUGAAACCAAACAAAUUUAAUCUUCGUCUAUUCGGAAACUGACUCACUGCACGUGAAUCAUGGAGAAUGUUGAAAGCAUAACAAUAAAUGAAGUCAAAGGUAACCAUACAAGCCUCAUCUAUUAUCACAACUGGUUCAUUUAACAAUCCGUCUCCAUAACUCACUUCAUAAUAGAAAUAGAAGGAGCAAAGGUAAACUUGAAAAAUGUGAAGGAAUCUCAACACCUGAAAUCGACACAAUGCAACAGCAGCCACAAAUCGAUGCCUCGAUCAACAACGAAUUCCAAUAACUUUGGGGACGGAAUUCAUGUAUUUCGAAGCGGGUGAACAGUGAACCAAGCAACAAUAGAGUCACAAAACAUCAGACAUUUUGGUAUAUGUUUUUUUAAAUUAACACUACGAAUGAAAAACCAAUAAUAAAUAUGAAGAAGCCGGAAAUGAGUCGGAAUCUCAUAACUGGACGAGCUUCAGUCAAACACGCCAAACAAUGAAAUUCAGUGAACAUCACGAGAAAUCGGCAGCACAGAUUAGUACAUUAACUAGCUCACAAACAUCUUCCAUUAAUAAACAAGGAGGAGUACAAGGUGAACCUGAUAAUCCAAAAUCUUUUCAGCAGUGAGAAAAAACAAUCAGGAGGUACAAUAGUCCCGUUUUCAAAAAUUUAGCUGAAGAACAACAGCAAAAUCCGAGGCAACAUAGAACCAAGACCGGAAAAACUCGAGGAAAAACAAAAUAUAUCUAAACACCACCAGCCAACAAAAAAACUAACACUAUGUAACUCUUAGUAAGACAAGAUAUCUUAUAUCCAAAACUUAAAUCAACCAUCAAACGUCACAGACAAUUCAGAGACUCCUCUACAGGAUGAGAUAAGUAACACUUGCAAUCCUAGGCCACGGAUCAGCGCAAACACAAAUCGCAACAAAUGCUCAAAGUAAGAGUUCCGUCCACAAAAUCUAACAGCGACUAAGGUGCAAUAACAAACCAAUACGGAAAUUCCAUAUGAACUACAUAAGUAUUAAAGGGAGCAACCAAUGAAAUAAAAAUGGACCUGAAAUUUAUACGAAGUGAAAUGAAUCAACAAUUACAGCCAGACAUUGUUGCGGCUUCAAACAGAAUCGACGCGAAAUCCAUUUGUGUGGAAAUCAGAAAAUUGAUGCGGACAGGACUCAGAUUGGCACCUCAACUCGAUUUCAAAACUCAAACUAUCUCCAUGUUUCAAAUCAGAAUAGGAACUCAGAGAAAGAAAAAUGAACUCAUUUCCGUCCAAAGCUUCUGUUGUUCGUUUGCACAAGGAUUCCGUCAUUUGCUUCUUUAUUUCGUUCUCAGUUUUAAGAGGAAUCUGCGCUGCUCAAUUUCCAGGCGUGUAUUGUGUGUUCUCCUGUGUGUUUUUCGCCUCUACUGUAUCGUGUGUGUGUAUGGGCGUAUAUUUUCAGAAGAAGCUCCAGCCUCCAGCCCCUUUUUCUCGUGUAUCUGUGUGUGUUUGUUCAGAAGAAGCAAAAGCUGCUCGCCUCCCUUCAAUUCCAGCCUACUCUGUUCUCCUUCUGUAUUGUGUCUAUAUGUCUAUAUUGUGUGUGUUUUUCCUCUUAUUGUAUCGUGUGUGUUCAAGAGCUGCGCAGCUCUUUUUCCCCCACCCCUGUUUUGUAUAUUGUGUGUGUAUUCUUCAGAAGAAGAAGCCAUUUGCCUUCUUUGCUAAAGAAUUUUUCAUGCGUCUUCGUGCAUCAGUGUAGAAGCAGCCAAAGGUGUGCAACCCUUCCCCAAUUUUCCAGGCCUCUCUGCGUAUAUCCCCAUUGUCCAUAUAUUGUGUGUAUUGUUAUUAGGUUUUUUAGGCUAGGAAGUGAAUUUGGGUAUUGGGUUGGGUCGGGGCGACCCGGUUUGGGGUUGGGUAGAG